UUAUCUUUUCUUUUUAACAGCUUGCCCACCCUGAAAUUGGCUCAACCGGAGAUAGGGUCUAGCAGCUGGAAGAGGAUCGCACGUCUUGCAGUGUCUGGUGUGCCCUCGGUGGCCCUUGAAAAUCAGGAGGACCGAUUACCAUCCAUGCCCGGUCGUACUCAUAACUGCAUCAGGUCUCCAAGGUGAACAACCUCUGGUCAAUAGAACAAUGUAGGUAAGGGAAGUUAGCAAAACAGAUCCGUAACUUUGAGAAAAGGAUUGGAUCUGAGGGCUGGGUGUAGGGGUCUGCAUCCUCAACCCGUGGGCUAUCGGCAGUCUGCCCGAGCUGCUAUCGUGGAGAGGGCAGGCAGUGACGUGCCGAUUGGGCUAUGGACGUAGAAUGUCCUCUCGCGGGGGAUUUUCCCUAGGCGGCGAACAGUCAACUCAAAACUGGUAUGGAAAAGAGGAAUUCGACUGUUUAAUUAAAACAAAGCAUUGUGAUGGUCCCUGCGGAUGCUGACGCAAUGUGAUUUUUGCCCAGUGCUCUGAAUGUCAAAGUGAAGAAAUUCAACCAAGCGCGAUUAAAUGGCGGGAGUAACUAUGACUCUCUUAAGGUAGCCAAA
rnacentral:ncRNA from 1 species